GGGAAUGUGGCUUAGUGGUAGAGUGCUUGCCUAGCAUGCAUGAAGCCCUGGGUUCGAUUCCUUAGUACCA
rfam:Dipodomys ordii contig_98044, whole genome shotgun sequence.